rnacentral:rRNA from 1 species
UGCAAUUGCACCACUACCAGAUGGACCUGCGUUGUAUUAGCUAGUUGGUGGGGUAACGGCUCACCAAGGCGACGAUACAUAGCCGACCUGAGAGGGUGAUCGGCCACACUGGGACUGAGACACGGCCCAGACUCCUACGGGAGGCAGCAGUAGGGAAUCUUCGGCAAUGGACGGAAGUCUGACCGAGCAACGCCGCGUGAGUGAAGAAGGUUUUCGGAUCGUAAAGCUCUGUUGUAAGAGAAGAACGAGUGUGAGAGUGGAAAGUUCACACUGUGACGGUAUCUUACCAGAAAGGGACGGCAGGCGGUUAGAUAAGUCUGAAGUUAAAGGCUGUGGCUUAACCAUAGUACGCUUUGGAAACUGUUUAACUUGAGUGCAAGAGGGGA